UACGUAGGGUGCGAGCGUUGUCCGGAUUUAUUGGGCGUAAAGGGCUCGUAGGCGGCGUGUCGCGUCGGGAGUGAAAGACCGGGGCUUAACCCCGGUUCUGCUUCCGGUACGGGCAUGCUGGAGUGUGGCAGGGGAGACUGGAAUUCCUGGUGUAGCGGUGGAAUGCGCAGAUAUCAGGAAGAACACCCGUGGCUAAGGCGGCUCUCUAGUACGUGACUGACGCUGAGACGCGAAAGCGUGGGGAGCGAACAGG
rnacentral:rRNA from 1 species